AACACCUCAAUUUUGAGUUCAUUUGUGAAAUUCAAAAUCUGAGUUUAGAGAGGAGAAGAAGGGGCAAACGAUGUAUCAUCCUACUAGAGGCGGCGUUCGUGGCGGCCGAGAUCAAUUUAGUUGGGAUGAUGUGAAGGUUGAUAAACAUCGAGAAAAUUAUAUUGGCCAUAGUAUCAAAGCAGCAGUUGGGAGAUGGCAGAAAGGGAAAGAUCUUCAUUGGUACACCCGUGAUAAGAAAUCCCAGGAUAAGGAUAUGGAGGCAGCAAAAGAAGAAAUACGUAGGAUUAAAGAAGAGGAGGAGCAGUCAAUGAGGGAGGCUCUGGGCUUAGCUCCUAAGCGUGCCACACGUCCUCAAGGUACUCGGCUAGACAAACAUGAGUUGUCUGAACUUGUGAAGAGAGGUUCAACUGCAGAAGACUUGGGAGCAGGGCAUUCUGAAGCUGCUCGGGUGGAUGGUCUUGGUUUCUCAAAAUUGCCCAAGCCUUGGGAAGAACCAAGUUCACCAUCAGCUUUUCCAUCUAAUCCGAUCGAUGAGCCUGUAGAAAAGAUUAAUGCAAGUCUCCCUGUUGCACCCCUACAGAAUGAAGAAGAGUCUGAGGACGAAAGGAGCCAAAAGAAGAAGAGACGAGAAGAGAAGAGACGGGAAAAGGAUGAGAGGAGAGAUAAGCGACAUUUGCAUGAUACAAAUGAUAGAAGGAAGCAUUCCCGCGAUUCAGAUGACAGGAGGAAACGUUCCCGUGAUUCUGACGAUAAGAGGAAGCACACCCGCGAUUCAGAUGACAGGAAGAAACACAAGAAAGACAAGGAGAAGAGAAGAAGACAUGAUUCUGAUUCAGAUUAAACUUCAAUAAAUCCUUUUAGUUAUUGUGUGCUUGCUAUCAUUUACCUUAACGAUUUCAUUCUGAAUAUUUGUGUUGAAUUCAGUUUGUUCUGUUGUAUUUAGAUGGAAAAAG
rnacentral:misc_RNA from 1 species